UACGAAGGGGGCGAGCGUUGUUCGGAAUUACUGGGCGUAAAGGGCGCGCAGGCGGCCUUAGAAGUCAGAUGUGAAAGCCCCGGGCUCAACCUGGGAACUGCAUUUGAGACUGCUCUGCUCGGGUGCGGAAGAGGGAAGCGGAAUUUCCGGUGUAGCGGUGAAAUGCGUAGAUAUCGGAAGGAACACCAGUGGCGAAAGCGGCUUCCUGGUCCGACACCGACGUUCAGGCACGAAAGCGUGGGGAGCAAACAGG
rnacentral:rRNA from 1 species